rnacentral:rRNA from 1 species
GACGAACGCUGGCGGCGUGCUUAACACAUGCAAGUCGAACGGAAAGGCCCUGCUUUUGUGGGGUGCUCGAGUGGCGAACGGGUGAGUAACACGUGAGUAACCUGCCCUUGACUUUGGGAUAACUUCAGGAAACUGGGGCUAAUACCGGAUAGGAGCUCCUGCUGCAUGGUGGGGGUUGGAAAGUUUCGGCGGUUGGGGAUGGACUCGCGGCUUAUCAGCUUGUUGGUGGGGUAGUGGCUUACCAAGGCUUUGACGGGUCGCCGGCCUGAGAGGGUGACCGGCCACAUUGGGACUGAGAUACGGCCCAGACUCCUACGGGAGGCAGCAGUGGGGAAUAUUGCACAAUGGGCGGAAGCCUGAUGCAGCAACGCCGCGUGCGGGAUGACGGCCUUCGGGUUGUAAACCGCUUUCGCCUGUGACGAAGCGGGAGUGACGGUAAUGGGUAAAGAAGCACCGGCUAACUACGUG